rnacentral:tRNA from 1 species
GAUCUCUUAGCUCAGCUGGUAGAGCAUCUGCCUUUUAAGCAGAGGGUCCUGGGUUCGAGCCCCAGAGGGGUCACAA